rnacentral:misc_RNA from 1 species
GUCAAAAGGUGGAAAAUGGGUGUGGCUCAGAGAAAUCGAUGCCGGCGGCGGAGAAUUCUAAGGAAUUAUGCACCGCGCCGACUGUGGAUCCCGGAGAGCAUGGACCUGGCGGUGGUCCGAUCGCUGGAGUUGACGUGGGAGAAGGUGUGAGCUCUUUGAAGGAGGAUGCUGCACCAGCGGCCGUCGCUCUUACCACUCCUAUCGCCGAGGGAACUUCGCUGGUAGGGGAUAAGCCUAGGAGUUCAUUUUCAUCAUGGAGUCACUAUGCUGCGAAGCAGAAUCCAAAUUUUGAAACGACAACUCCUUGGUGUAGGCUUCUCUCACAGUUCGGUCAGAACUCCAAUGUUGAUAUUUUCUCGUCAAAUUUUACCAUUGGUUCUAGUAGAGGUUGCAACUUUCCCUUGAA